rnacentral:rRNA from 1 species
GACGAACGCUGGCGGCUUGCUUAACACAUGCAAGUCUAACGGAAAGGCCCUUCUUGCAGGGUACUCGAGUGUCGAACGGGUGAGUAACACGUGGGUUAUCUGCCCUUCACUUCGGGCUACGCCUGGGGAACUGGGUCUAAUACCUGAUAGGCGCCAUUUUUAUUGUGAUGGUUGGAAAGUUUUUUCGUUGUAGGAUUAGAUCUCGGCCUAUCCGCUUGUUGGUGGGGUAAUGGCCUACCAAGGCGGCGACGGGUAGCCGGCCUGAGAGGGUGGACGGCUAGACUGGAGCUGAGAGACGAACGAGAUUCCAAGGGGAGGCAGCAGGGGGGAAUAUUGCACAAUGGGAGAAGGACUGAGGAAGAGACGUCGAGUGGGGGAUAACGGCCUUCGGGUUGUAAACUCCUUGCGCUAGGGACGAAGCUUUUGGUGAAGGUAACGAGAUAAGAAGAACCGGCUAACUACGUG